rnacentral:ncRNA from 1 species
AACAGUUGAGGAAGAGAGAGCACCACAUCUAGCAUGUGGCUUGUGGCAGCCAAACGUUUAUAAUGACAUUGUUUUUUGAUCCUUUGAUGUUAGCUUUUCUUAUCAUUGUGAAGUAAAAUUCACCAAGUGUUAGAUUGUUCACCCACCAAUAGAGAAUGUGAGUUGGGUUUAAAUCGUCAAGAGACAUACUAAUGAGCUCUGCUGUAAUAGUAAUUCAACUUAGUAGGAAAGAUUUGCACAAUUAGAAAUUCUGCUUGGUUGAAAAGCCAGUGGUGAGAAGCUACGAUGUGUGGGAUUACGACUGAAUGCCUCUAAGUCAGAAAGGAUGUCGUUCUCUAGCCAGUCCCUGGCGAGGAAGAGUUCCUGGAGGCAGCAGAGUAGAGUGUUUGUUUCGGACUCU